rnacentral:lncRNA from 1 species
UUUCUGGCUUGCCUUGCUGUAACGUAGAGCUGGUUGGGACACUUCACGCAUUACUACCAGAAUGCCCCAUUUCAAGGAGCAAGAAAUGCUAACACUUGCUGGUUUGCUGUUGGGGGGGUUUCGUAUUCUUAGGCCUAAACUUGACAUGCUCUUUUGAUAACCCCAGGAAACCUGUGUCUUAUUUAAAUAACAUUUUUUCUAGUACUUUUUCAUCAAGCAAUUUUACUGCCUGCGCAUAGAUUGUUAACAAGGCUUUGUACAACACAUUCCUGCCUGGGCUGCAGCCUCUCCCCGCGAUACAGCCUCUCCUCCAGCCUCGCCGGGCUAUUUAUCAGGCCAGCGCAGUCUUGGUUGCCAGUUUUCUGCCAGCUGUUACUAUACAGUAGUAUUGGGGGGGGGGGGUUUGAAAAAAAAAACAGUUUAGGCUCUGUCACUCGAAUUGGAUAUAAUUUCAGCUACCUGUUGACAAAUGAUGAUUUGUUUAACAGCAUCAACUGUGAUAUUUUUAUAGCUGAUAGUUUUCACCCUACUCUGCAGCUGGAAAAACCUGAGGAAUUCCCAAAAGGUUCCUCGCUUGUGCCCUUCUCGAUUUUCUCUUUGCUCCAGAACACGCCAUGUAGUGUCUUGGCCUGUUGUCUCUGAUGCCGGAAAAGACAUCCUUAAUGAGCAAAUCAGCCACGUCCACGGUGCUGCACUGGGGCAGGCCCAUUAACCUGUGCCACUCAGCUUCGUGGUUGGCCUCCUUCCCGCAGCAGAAAGCCCCACCGAUGGUCAGCCUGGGGAGAUGCUCCAGGACACAGCCGCGGCCCGAAAACAAGCCAGAGCAAUCCGUAACUACGUGGAAGUGCAAACAUGGGAAUCUGCAGAUUUGCGUCUCAUCUGUCAUGGAGCGCAAGAUCGAUGCUACAGGGAUCAUCAUAGCUUUGCCACCAGACGUAAAUAUCAGAAUAUAUUGCAACCAGCUAGCAGGGCAUGACUGUUAAAGGCUUUUCUCAUAGCCAAAACCUGGCCUGUGCAUUGGAGCGCUGGAAAGCUGGAAAUCUGUCAUCACACCCUGCUGUGUCAUUAGGCCGUUUGUGUUCCACUUUAUUAUGUAAUGAUUAAAAAUGCCUUUUGUAUAGUCUGUCCCUAAUUAGGGGAGGUCAGUCUGUUGUGGGAGAAGUGAAUGACUCAUCAGAAGGGCCUGAACUAAGAGUAUAUUUGUAGGCUGUAGAAACCAACGCUCUUUCUUUAAUUUUCCCUUUAAAAAAUUCUGAACUAAAGUCACAGGAAGUUUAAAGGGGGGGGGGGGGGAAAACCCC